rnacentral:rRNA from 1 species
AGGAUGAACGCUGGCGGCGUGUCUAAGGCAUGCAAGUCGAACGAGUGGCAAACGGGUGAGUAACACAUUGGAAUCUACCCCGAGUCGUGAAUAACCCCGCGAAAGCGGGACUAAUACACGAUAGGAAGAGCUUAUGGCCUAUCAGCUAGUUGGUGAGGUAAUAGCUUACCAAGGCAAUGACGGGUAGCGGGUGUGAGAGCACGACCCGCCUCACUGGGACUGAGACACUGCCCAGACUCCUACGGGAGGCUGCAGUCAAGAAUAUUUCGCAAUGCCCGCGAGGGUGACGAAGCGACGCCGCGUGACUGAUGAAGCCCUUCGGGGUGUAAAGGUCUUUUAUUAGGGAUGACGGUACCUAACGAAUAAGAGGUUGCUAACUCUGUGCCAGCAGCAGCGGUAAUACAGAGACCUCAAGCGUUAUCCGGAUUUAUUGGGCGUAAAGAGUGCGCAGGCAGCUUAUUAAGUUAGUGGUAAAUCCCAAAGCUCAACUUUGGAUCAGCCACUAAAACUACUAAGCUAGAGAUUGGGAGAGGCAAGCGGAAUUGCCGGUGUAGGGGUAAAAUCCGUUGAUAUCGGCAAGAACACCAAAUGCAAAGGCAGCUUGCUAGAACAUUUCUGACGCUGGUGCACGAAAGCGUGGGGAUCAAAGAGGAUUAGAUACCCUCGUAGUCCACGCCGUAAACGAUGGACACUAGACAUUGGUCGUUUAGCUAACGCGUUAAGUGUCCCGCC